CGUCAUCGCGCUAAUUCCUGGCCCGUGGCGCGAUAACAAAGAGAGCUUACUUCAUCGUGCCGCGACGAAUUAUCAUUUUUGUUUGACGUUCCUUGUUUACGCGAACUCCGCCGAACUCGGCUGUGCCAGAACCGUCUGGCACCGUGCGUGCGAGCGGUUUGCAUAAGACUCAUCCUGGAGAAACGCAAACGACGCGUGUGCAUGAAAUUAUGUCACCGCUGGCGUCGCACUUGUCGCACACUUUCGCGUCAUCGUCGCCGAAUUGCUGCGCCGCGACGAUGCAGGCCGAAUGCGAGUCUCGUUUCUUCUCUCAACGGCCACAGCUGUCACCUGCCUGAACCGACGUCAUUCACGCAGGGUUCCCGUCAUAAUGACAUGCGACAUAAAAACCCAGAGAAUCACUAGUGUUAACCAAACUGUGCACGUUCGUGAUGCGUCAUACUCGCACGUGGAGGAUUUCAACGAAUGGAAUGAUUCAUAGGCGAAACGUAGACUCACGAGUAGACGCCGGACGUUUUUGUUUGUUAAUUCUUUCCUUGCCAGUCCCAUGUUAUGAAAAAAAAAAAAAAAAGAAAAAAAGAUUCGCCGACAGCGCGUGAACGGUCGCGAAUAAAUGCGAUAAGGCCCGCCAACAACAACGUCGACAUUAACACAAGACUCGAUAUGCCAGACGAUUCGGCAAUCGUAUUUGUUUUUGCGCACUUGACGGGAGUCAAGGGGCACUUUGUGAUUAUUUGUUGUUUGUAGAAUGGACAUUCCUCCGUGAUCGGCGAACAAGGAGAGAAUUGCGGCCGGUUGAGCCGGCUGCCGUGGAUUUAUUACGCGACGCAAGCAUCGCAUAAUCACACCUCGUCGACGUAGCAUGCACUUGGCGCAACGAACACGUCGACAUCGAAUUCAAGUAUCGAUCUAACACAAUCGAUCGAGCAGGAAGCGUGUAUCAGUGACGCGCACUAAAGCUGAUAAAUCUCUUAUGCAAUUACUCUAUUAAUCUGCAGGUUGAGCUCUACUCUAUUAAUCUGCAGAUUCCCGCCUACACAUGACUUUUUGCGUUUCCAAACGGGACAAAUGAUACGAAAAACAGCGGGCAAACAAGUGACGCAAAACGAUCGCUUAAAUUAAUUUUGAUAAUUAUCAUCAAUCGCUCUUUAUGCGGUGGCUGACUACGUGAGAGAGAAAAAAAGACGUUCGUUAUGUAAGUAUACACGCGACGCAGAAGGUUUAUUGUACCGAUUCUUUCGUGGAAAAGUUUCAAGGCCUUCCCUGAGGAGCGUUUUUGCGUAAGGUGGGAAUCGAAAUGAAAAGUAGGAAAAGUCGGAACGCACGAGGUCCUAACAGCAGGAUAAAAAUAAAGCUGACGGAGGAGGAGCGGGAAGAGUAGUUUUGCGGGUUCUACAAGAGGCAGAGCGAAGAAAGACGAAGAUUGGAAUUCGGCCUCACAAUCUGAGGCAUCUCUCGGAGGGGUUGUCGCUCUGAAAGAAACGGUCGACACGUGCAACCCUGUGGUGUCCUUGAGAUCCCGAAGGUUCCCACAAUUCUUAAUAGCUCAUCAUGCACGGCCGGUGCGUCCAGGAUCCUGCGCGACGCCUGCCGCCGAUCUGCUGUCAAGUUACGCCAGCAAAUCUGUCGACAACACACGAGUUCAGUCUGAUCGAAUCCGUUGCUAAUCUGCCAGCUAACAUCUUGUUUAUUGGAAAUUUUGCCAGUUUUAUGCUCGAGCCUGCUCGUGCUACAAAAGAGACUCAUUAGAGACAUUGAAUUCGCGAAGGAGCCGCCACGAAUGUCCGAAAUGCGUAGGUGAAGCAAUUGGACGUUAGACGAGGUCUAGGCUGUACACGUGUCGGGUCUUGACAUUGCACUCGGAAGACCACCAGCCCUUGUUCCCCGCUUUCACCUGCGUUCAACCGUUCGACCGUCCGGAAACGGCCGAUCGGACCCUGAAAGGAUCUCCUACCAACACGAAUCGCCGGCCCCCUUUCCCCUCUCCUAGGAGAGUGGCGCAACGGCGUCCGUCGUUAGAAAAGUGGUGGUGCACGUGGAGACGCGGCGAGAUUAUCGCAAGCCCGACACGUGGCGGCCUUGACUUUGUCCCGUCGUCAUCGCCAUCGACGUGUCGUGUUUAGUCGCGCGUUAUUAUUCAUACAAUAAAGUUAUUUAUCGGCACACAAAUGCACAUAUUCGACAUUUAUCGUUUGGCGCUGAACGCGACGACGCGUCUUUUUCUUCAGAGAGAAGAAGAAGUGAUUCGAUUUCCCAAUCAAUUAUUUUGAUCUAACGAUUGCUUGUAACGUUGCUCUCAGAAAUUGGAUUCAGAAUCGAGUGCCAUUUUGCACAGCCAUUUUGAUCUAUUAUAUGACAUAUGUGACAUCAAGUCUAUAAUCGCGAUUCAAUUGAAGAACUCUCAUCUAAUUUUCAACUCAAAUCUAAGUAUAUCUAAUUGAGAGGAGUUUCAAGUAACAACUAUUAAUAUGAGUCUAAAUCACACAUAAAUGGUACGCGAUGAUGCGUGAUAAAUAUUCAUUUCUUUAAGAUUUUCUAUACACACACACACACACACACACACACACACACAUGCACAAAGAUAAAAAAACGUUAAAAAAUGUUCUAAAAAUUGCGUGCAGUUUUGUUACUUAAUUUUCGUUGCUAUCGCGUUGUUGAAUCUAGCACGUUGUUGAAGCGCGCGGAAUUUUUUAGAAAUAUAGUAUCCGUUUCCUCGUCACACGAUAGUAUUGCAAUACUUUUUUAUCUUAUCUUCGAUAAGAAAAGUCACGCGAGACAUCCACGCGCAAUUCUGUCACCGGGCUCUCGCAAGCACACGUGCACACGUGGUCGCGCAUUCAGCGCUAAAUGCGAAACAGCGUGAAUGCGAAACAGCGUGGGCCCCGGAACCCUCUCUCUUUCUCACAGUAUCCGAUCCGAGUGUCGGUUUACGGCAUUUGACAAUGUCUAGACGUAGCGGCCGAGAGUAAUCUCGAGAACGAGCAGACGAAUCUGCCCGCAGCGAGUAAUAUCCUGUGUGUAUGUGUGUGGGGGGCGCGUAAGGGGGACUUACA